UGGGAUUCUCCAUCUCUUUCCCAAGGCAAUAAACAAAAAAAAAAUGAAGACUCUAUAUCAUCGUGAGCUUUAAUGCUUAAUUAAGGGCGAAUUUGUUAGCUUUGAAGGUAGAUUUUGUCAUCAAAAUUAUGAGUGAUUGAAGCCCAUCAAGUAGAGAGUAAAAUGGUGGUGUUUGAAGCGAGAUAGAACAAGGAAUGAGGUUAAGUUUCGGUGAAGCUAAGAGGUAAGAAAAGCUUUGCAUUAUUAUUUGUUCUUAGAUUGGGAUUAUGAUAGAAGUAAGUUUAGAAUGUGGUAGGUUGACUAGAAGACAUGUCACAAUAGGAUUUUCUUAAAAGGAUGUUUAUAACACCAUUGUUGAGUGCUUGAG
rnacentral:lncRNA from 1 species